CGAUUUUGAGGAAGUUUUCGGAUGGAAUUGAAAUUGACUUAGCGACGGACGGGUGAGUAACACGUGGGUAAUCUGCCUUAUACAGGGGGAUAACAGUUAGAAAUGACUGCUAAUACCGCAUAAGCGCACGGGAACGCAUGUUUCUGUGUGAAAAACUCCGGUAGUAUAAGAUGAGCCCGCGUCUGAUUAGCUGGUUGGUGGGGUAACGGCCUACCAAGGCGACGAUCAGCAGCCGGCCUGAGAGGGUGAACGGCCACAUUGGGACUGAGACACGGCCCAAACUCCUACGGGAGGCAGCAGUGGGGAAUAUUGCACAAUGGGGGAAACCCUGAUGCAGCGACGCCGCGUGAGUGAAGAAGUAUUUCGGUAUGUAAAGCUCUAUCAGCAGGGAAGAAAAUGACGGUACCUGACUAAGAAGCCCCGGCUAACUACGUGCCAGCAGCCGCGGUAAUACGUAGGGGGCAAGCGUUAUCCGGAUUUACUGGGUGUAAAGGGAGCGUAGACGGCGCGGCAAGUCUGAAGUGAAAGGCAGGGGCUUAACCCCUGAACUGCUUUGGAAACUGCCAUGCUAGAGUGCUGGAGAGGUAAGUGGAAUUCCUAGUGUAGCGGUGAAAUGCGUAGAUAUUAGGAGGAACACCAGUGGCGAAGGCGGCUUACUGGACAGUAACUGACGUUGAGGCUCGAAAGCGUGGGGAGCAAACA
rnacentral:rRNA from 1 species